GACGAACGCUGGCGGCGUGCUUAACACAUGCAAGUCGAACGGGCCUGUCUUCUUUUUUGGGGGGUGGGUUGAGUGGCGAACGGGUGAGUAUCACGUGAGUAACCUGCCCUUCGGUCCUGGAUAACCGCUUGAAAGGGCGGCUAAUACGGGGUGGUCCGGUUGGUCCGCAUGGGCUGGUCGGGAUAGAUUCACUGUUUUUGGUGUUUCGGCGGGGGAUGGGCUCGCGGCCUAUCAGCUUGUUGGUGGGGUGAUGGCCUACCAAGGCGGUGACGGGUAGCCGGCCUGGGAGGGUGGGCGGCCACACUGGGACUGAGAUACGGCCCAGGCUCCUGCGGGAGGCAGCAGUGGGGGGUAUUGCACAAUGGGCGGAAGCCUGAUGCAGCGACGUCGCGUGAGGGAUGGAGGCCUUCGGGUUGUGAACCUCUGUUUCCGGUGGUGAAGGCCCUGUCCGGGGGGUGGGGUUGACGGUAGCCGGGGAUGAAGCGCCGGCUAACUACGUGC
rnacentral:rRNA from 1 species